GAUGAACGCUGGCGGCGUGCCUAAUACAUGCAAGUCGAGCGAACAGACGAGGAGCUUGCUCCUCUGACGUUAGCGGCGGACGGGUGAGUAACACGUGGAUAACCUACCUAUAAGACUGGGAUAACUUCGGGAAACCGGAGCUAAUACCGGAUAAUAUAUUUAACCGCAUGGUUCAAUAGUGAAAGACGGUUUUGCUGUCACUUAUAGAUGGAUCCGCGCCGCAUUAGCUAGUUGGUAAGGUAACGGCUUACCAAGGCAACGAUGCGUAGCCGACCUGAGAGGGGGAUCGGCCACACUGGAACUGAGACACGGGCCAGACUCCUACGGGAGGCAGCGUGAGGGAAUCUUCCGCAAGGGGCGAAAUCCUGACGGAGCAACGCCGGGGGGGUGAUGAAGGUUUUCGGAUCUUAAAACUCUGUUAUUAGGGAAAAACAAAUGUGUAAGUAACUAUGCACGUCUUGACGGUACCUAAUCAGAAAGCCACGGCUAACUACGUG
rnacentral:rRNA from 1 species